UGUAGUUGUUGCUGGUUGUCUCGUGGCUUUGGAGAUUUUGGAUGUGGGCACAACAAUGAGAGUCUCCACGACGGUGCUAACAUCCAACAUUACCACGUGCCAACUUCCCACUGUCCCAACCUUCCGGAAGUAGAAGGGAGAGGGAUUGGCAUUUCUAGCACGACAGAAGGGAUCACGUGAUGUCGUCUGAACGUCGUCUCUACCUAACAUAAUUUACUUUGUCUUGUACAGUUAUCGGUCGACGAGUCCGGCUGCUGUCAAGAAGAGAUCAAUGCAGCUGCUGCAGCAAUAGAAGUGCGUGCAUGAUGAACUGACUCACGAGCGACUACGUAACGAUCUGUCAGCAAAAGUUGGAAGGAUCACUGUGACAUGGUCAAACUGCAGAAGUGGAUAUAUUAUCAAAGACUUACCAAUCGACCAGUUCUGGAACGUCUUUGAAGGUCUCUCUGCUCAAAUGGUCAACGAUCAAGGCGAACCCAUGUUACUCUGUUACUCAAGCUGAAGAUUUGGAGAUUUUAUGGAAAACGUUUCUUUGACAGAAUACACACGACGAGACUGUUGGCUAAAUCUUGCAGCCAGACUUCCGGAUCGAAUUGUGAAGCCUGACGCUCAGCAGCGUACCCAAUGGAAGGAACGACCAAUCUACAUCUCGACAUGUCUGAUGCAGUGAAUGUCAUGGUGUAUGUUGGCAUUCCACGCUCAAGUGAGUCAUCAGUCGACGAGUCCAGAUGCUGUCAAGAAGAGAUCAAUGCAGCUGCAGCAGCGAUUGAAGAGUUCGACGAACUGACUCACGAAUGACUAAGGAACGAUCUGUCAGCGAAAGUGGUAAAAGUCGAUUUCUUUUUCUCACUAGAGAGUGUCACACAGAGUGUUUUUACGAAAUUGAUUUUUUUUGUAUUCAUGAG